rnacentral:rRNA from 1 species
UACGAAGGGGGCUAGCGUUGUUCGGAUUUACUGGGCGUAAAGCGCGUGUAGGCGGACUUGUAAGUUGGGGGUGAAAUCCCGAGGCUCAACCUCGGAACUGCCUCCAAAACUACAAGUCUGGAGCAAGAUAGAGGCAAGUGGAAUUGCGAGUGUAGAGGUGAAAUUCGUAGAUAUUCGGAAGAACACCGGUGGCGAAGGCGGCAUCCUGGACCGGCAUUGACGCUGAGGCGCGAAAGCCAGGGGAGCAAACGGG